GACAGAGGGUGCAAGCGUUGUUCGGAAUUACUGGGCGUAAAGCGCGUGUAGGCGGUCCGGAAAGUCGGAUGUGAAAGCCCUCGGCUCAACUGAGGAAGUGCAUCCGAAACUCCCGGACUUGAGUGCUGGAGAGGUAAGGGGAAUUCCCGGUGUAGAGGUGAAAUUCGUAGAUAUCGGGAGGAACACCGGCGGCGAAGGCGCCUUACUGGACAGCAACUGACGCUGAGACGCGAAAGCGUGGGGAGCAAACAGG
rnacentral:rRNA from 1 species